rnacentral:lncRNA from 1 species
GUAAACAUCUGCCAAGAACUGAGGACACAUUUGCAUGAAUUACAAGUAUCAUUUUUCAUAAACCCCACAAUGAUUUACCAUUUUUCAACUCACAGAAGGAUCAUUUACUUCAAUAUAUAAAUAGAAGAUGGCCCUCUACCUUUUUUUUUUUUUUUUUUCUUUUUUUCUUUUUUCCUUUUUUGUGGAUCUUUUCCCUUUUCCUUACGGUAUCACAAAUUUGUUGAUUAAAAGAAACACUGUUGCCUGCUUGCCUCCCUUUUGACUCCCUUCAGAAAGCAGCAUCCUAGGGUGUACAUGUGGAUCUUACUCUCUUCCCAGACUUCAUGGGUUUUGACUCUUUCCUUUCUUCGACUUGUUCUUCUCCUGCAUCUUCUUUUUCUUUGCUUCAGCAGUAACCCAAGUGUAAUCAGAAGGAAUAGCAAACGGUUCUUGAAUGUUGUCUAUCCUACUGCUUGAACCACCAUUGGAAGAAGAGGUAGGGCGUUGGUAAGGGGCCUUUAUCCACUGAAACCAUGAUGAACUUGAGGACUGCAUCAUGGCAGGGCUUUCUGGGCCUGCAGCAGAAGGGCUUGAAGGGGGUGUUGUAAACUCAUCCACCGGCUGUAGUUCUUCAAACUUUGUAAAUGUAACCAACACUCUGAUGGUAGGAACCACAGGAAUUGCAACCUGGAUAUAACUAUAGAGGACUUCUUAGCAAAUAGACAAAUACAGAAAUACAACAGCCAACCCAAGAAGCUGCUUGGAAGAAAUAAUAAUCACAGGUAAAAAUUAAAAAAUAACAAGACGCUGUAUACAAAUUUUGGUAGCAAAACAGGGUUCAAUGCUCCUUCCUACAACACCAUGCUGGAAAAACCGCUAUCAGGUAAUUCUGUCAUAUAGAACAAAAGAAAUUGAAGCAUACAUGCAAUGGCUCUAUUUGACAACUAGGAUGAGGAUGUCCAAUCUCCAAGGGGAAAAAGGGAACAUAGUAACACUGUAUAAUCAGAUUUGGAUUUCAACAAUCAACACAGAUGCCUGACCAACUUGCAUUGAUCCAUUCAAGACAGAAACUGGCAUGGGACUUCAAAACUUUUCAAUCUCAUUAACAAUUAACAAUCGUGAUUACAAUGACCGGUCAAUGGAUGAAAACUAAAAAUUAAAACUAAAUGAACCUUCUUCUUUGUGAAAUAUCUUUUCUAGUCACAGCACCAUACAGGCGUACACUUCUUGAACUCUAUCAUGCUUGAUUGGAAUUAUCUUAAAAAUUUAGCAUUCCAAAUUAACUCUUAAAGAGCAGUCAACAAUUCAAGAAUCACUCAGGAAAAUCUUGCACAGUUCAUUAGGGUUAGAAAACCCAAUCCUAUACAGCAAUUUGUAUAAUAAUUAUUUGUUCUGAAGCAUAAAAAUUAAAAAGAAUUUAUUUGAGGCACUCUUCAGAUUUUUCCUCUCCUAUUUAGCACUUUCAACUUUGUACCAAAACCUAUCAUCUUACCACUCAGCAGUGCCUCAUCAUAUCCAUCAGGCCCUGUCAUGUUGAUUUGUGGCCCUCUCAGAGACUUAAAAUAAUCUGGAUGCCAAUCUGGGUGAGAUUUCAGAUUUGAUUUUGAAGUGUGAAUUGAAGCUAUAAAUUUUCUUAGGUAACUUAAUUUUCUUAUCAUCUUAAAAAAAAAAAAGAUCUAUAAACCAAAAAAAUAAAUAAAAAAAAAAACAAAAAAUUCGUAUUAAAAACAAAACAAAACAAAAAAUCCAAAAUGUUGUCAAUGCACCAGGCAAAGGCAAGGCUAAACAAGAGCAAGAAAGAAAUCAUCUAUAACAUAAAACCAUCUACAAGCUCCAUCAUUCAAGGAUGACAUGGUACUGUUUCACAUGAUAAACCAAAGGAACAUACAGACCUCCAUGAAAGUGUUAUCUAGAGCAUGGAUAACACUAAACUCUCCUACUAUUGACCCAAGACUGCAAAUGAAACUUAUGAGGGAAAAUUUUGUCACUAUUUGAAGAAGCAUGUGGUCUUCUACUUCAAAUUAAGAAACUAUUGCCUGAGUAAAGGAGUAAAGAAGGCUAUUAAUUACACUACUAAGGUCUGAUUUUAUUCAAAUUGUAGAUUCCAGAAAAACUAGAAAAAAGACACGAAAGUGGAUUGAGGGUUCAAAAAGACAUGACAACCUAUAAUUAGGCAGAGGAUAUGGCCUUGAAAGUUGUUGACAGCUGUUUAGUCAAACCUGUGUAGUCAGAUUUCAAAGGUUUGCUGGAUAGGAGUUCAAAUUAAGGCUAUAUCCUCAAAUUAAGAAACUAUCGCCUGAGUAAAAAAGGCUAUUAAUUACACUACUAAGGUCUGAUUUUAUUCAAAUUGUAGAUUCCAGAAAAACUAGAAAAAAGACACAAAAGUGGAUUGAGGGUUGAAAAAGACAUGACAACCUAUAAUUAGGCGGAGGAUAUGGCCUUGAAAGUUGUUGAUAGCUGUUUAGUCAAACCCGUGUAGUCAGAUUUCAAAGGUUUGCUGGAUAGGAGUUCGGAAUUUCUUAAUGAUUAAUCUACCUUCUUUAUGUCAUUUCUGCAUAUCUUUCUUCAUCCCAUACUCCCGUACAAAAUUUGGUUGACACUCUCUCGGACAAUGAUUUGGCACUAAAGAAGAUAAUUUGAACCUCAUGCUCAAGGAUACAUCUCUCCCAUCCAUAUGGUUUUUAUCAGAUUCCAACAUGGAUAUUUUUCUCACAACUCACUGCAUCAGAAACUCUUUCUCAUAAUGUUACAUUUUCAGAUCAUUUAUCUUGCUUCUCUCCACAGCAUCAAGUGGUACUCACUCAUUCUCCUCUUUUUUUCCAUCCCUAUUGCAUAUUAAGCCACCAUCUUUAUAAUGUAAUAAUGUAUUAUCACCAAAUUCCAACAAAUUCAAUACAUAUUAGUCUCUGAAGGCAAUGAUCUUAAAGCACUUGCAAUUAAGAAGAUCCUUGAAGCCUCCAAAUCAUCUCUGAAACUAAUACACAUUCAUCAAAAACCGAUGCAUAUGAUUUUUACCAGCUGAUCUUUAUCAGCACUCCCAGGUUGCAUUGCCAAGAGAAUAUAGUUUCAAUCCUGGUCAAUCACAAAACUCACUGGAAGUACUACUUUUCUCUUAUUAAAAAAAAAAAUCAAGACUUAGGAUUCCUUUUUUUACAUUUCAACACUUUAGAAUGACAAAAGAGUUGGAAUGAAAAAAAAAGGAAUUCGAAGUCUUGAUUUUUUUAUUUUUUUAUUUUUUUAUUUUUUAUUUUUUUUGUAAAAGAAAAUACCAAUAAGUGAGUGGAUUUAUAUAUAUAGGCAUAAUAAUAAUAACAUUUAUCCUUUAAAAUAAUAAAACAAACUAAAAGGUAUAUUUUGAAAUUAGCAUGUGUAGCAAAUAGGAUAUGGAAUUGCUGUAGUGCCUAUCUAAUAUCCAAUGGAUAUUAUUUAUCUCUAAUUUUGCAUUGGUACCCUAGCAUAAAACUUGUUAUCAUGCUUGGGCUACAUUAUGUAAUCCAGGGUUACUUGUUUAACUCCUUCCAGUAGGAAUGUUUUUUUUCUUUUCCCUUUUUUUGUUCUGAUAAGUAACUCUUUUCCCCAGUUGGGAAUUGAACCUAAAACCUCCCACAUUGCCAACCCAACCUAUUGCCACUUGAGCCAGCCUAAAGGGCAUUUUACAGGGGAAUGUUGCUUCCCAAUAUAUAUAGACAUAUACUAUUUGGAUUUUUCUUAUUGGUUGUGUAUCAUUGUCAUUCAACCGAAAUUUUGUAUUUCUGAUGUCAAUGGAGAAAUAUUGAUACAAAACCAAGAACAACACUGGUUUACUCUGAACCAUAAUUAUCAAGCAACAGUCAAGCCAUUAUGCACAUGCCCACUAAGUCUAUUCCCAGUAAACAUUUCCAAACUCUAGAUGAGAGCCUGAAGGCCUGGUCAUCAGAUCAUGCUGGAAUCCAAAAAGGAAAAUGCAUUUGUAUUUCAGAUCCCAUUUUGUAGUUAGCUACCUUUGUUCCUCAUCACAGAGAUAUGCCCUCAGCAUUUCCAUGUUUUUGUUCUAAUUCUCCUUCCUAAAUCUUAAUUCAUGGUAGUUGCCAAAAAGAGAGAACAUGUUUCAACAGAAUUACUUAGUGGAAAGUCGCUAAUAGGCAUCAGGGUCACAAGGUCUAAAUGCUAAAUUACUUCCUAGUAAAACUGUCAAGUAUUUGAAUACUUGUCUGGUUGGUAGGAGAUCACUGAAAACAUGUUCUCCCUCUUCACCAACUUGGUAUUAACACACCUUUCUUCACUAUGAUUUAAUCAAUAUGUUUAUAUUAAAAUUCACAAGUUAACUACAGACUACAGGGGGUAGAUUUUAAAACAAUUUAGUUUGGUUAAAAUUCAGCAAGUUGGCAUCCACAAAUGGGUAGGAAUGAAAUGAGACUUACAACUACAAUUCUAGUCCUUGAAGAGAUUAGUAUGGCAAUGGUUGAUGCAUAAGGUCAUGGCAUAGUUAUGAUUAGGAAUGAUGCAGUCAAGACUGAAAAUUUCAAGCAUAUGAGAUGGUAUUUUGUAUAACAGAUCUGUGCUGAAUGUGUUAUCUCUAGGAAUACUCAAUAGUACACAAUUUUUAAAUUGGUUGUUGAGAAGAAAGAACUAUACAAUGAUCCAGUUGCAUUAUCAGCUGGUAGACAAUCAACUACUAAACUAUAACAUGACCUAUUAGUCCAAGUAAUUCCAAUCUGUCACAGUUGGAUGCAAGUCAAAAAUUGGUUUAAAAAGGAAAUCAGGUUGGUACUCCAUCAGAUAGAUGAUCUAUUCUUUAAAGUAUCAAUCCAACUAUGGUUCCCUAUCCAUAACAUCAUUUUGGUCCAACUUCAAUAUGAAACUACCUGGUCCCAUUUGACUUCUACUGGGACCAGUGGACUCAGGAAUUGACCAGUGCACUUCCAAAGACUCACAAAUCAUUCUUUUUGUUUUUCAAUUUUAGGCCAAAUAAACAUAAGACAAAAGCAGCCUACCAAAACACUAAAAUUAAUACUCAAUUUUGGGGCUAUUGCUACUGCAUGCAAUCAAAACAAAGCAUAGGUGAUGGUGACUGCCUUUAAAGUUCAAGCUUUAAGCAGAGGAUAUUAAACCACAAACUUGUUAUCAAAUAAAUCAAAUCACAGAAUCUAUGGGUACAAUGAAGUAAAUUCUGAGAAGAAUGGACAAGUAGUAAACAGAAAACAUUGUAAAGAUAUUCUAGGUUAUGAAAGGGACCUUUAUGCAUCCUUCAGGUAUUCCAAGCUAGCAGAAAUCUACGAUUAUAUAACCAUGUCUGAAUCUCUAAUACAAAUCAAGCAUUAAAGCUCUCAGUGAGCACCAUAAUUCUAUCCAAUUCAAAGGGACGCUCUUGUUUCUUAAUCCCAUUCCCAUGCUCCCAAAUACUGAAGUCUAUUUAUGUACCUAUAACUUUUAAGCAUUUCCUGCUAGGUAUUCUUUGUUGUAGAAAAACAAAGCUAUCAGAGUACCUAGUAAGAAAACUUUGUCCUCAAGGGAGUAAACAAUUUGGAGAUCUGGGUUCAUACUAGCUGAAGCUAAGCUUAAAAUUAGUUCAGUUUGGUUCACUAGUUUUUGCCCAUUCAUGAGCUUCAGUAGGCAUCAUUCAUAUGGAUAAAUUAAGCCAACCUCAAAAUUUAAAUUAUAUAUCCAGGUAUCUAUUGGUAAAAAGGCUCGAAGGAUGAAGAAACCAAGAAGUGAAACCAUUUUGAUGAAUCAUGAGACGAGAAACAUUUAGCAGGACAUUUAUGGCACGUUUACUAAACUUCAAAGCAAAGGGGAUCAUAAAAAAGGGAAUCAGAUAAGAGAAAGAAAAGGAAUGAAUGGAAGGGAAUCAGAUAAGGGAAAGAAAAGGAAUGAAUGGAAGGGAAUCAGAAUCAGCAAUUCCACCAAAGAGUUUACUUACAAAGCAGGAAACAGAAUCAGAAUGAAGUUGUUUGCCUUUGUAGUAUUUGCUAAUUGUGGACCAAACAUAAUGAAAUGUGUACUUUUGCCCUUAUGCACAUAAUUUUCCCUAUUAUCAUUAGAGAUUUAACAACAAAUACUAUUUUAAAUAGAGAUUUUUAAAAAAUUCUAUUUUAAUGGAAUUUAAAAUGAAUAAAAAUUAUUUUUUUAAUAUUUUCAUUUUUAAAAAAGGAUUUUCAUUAACUUAAAUUAUGAAAUUAUCUUUUAAAAUUAAAAAAAAAAAAAUUGUUAUAAUUAUGGUUUUGAAGCAUCUAUGAUUUUUUUCCCUACUUCUUUUAAAAAUAUGCUCCACUAGGCAAAUAUUUAUUUUAAGGGUUUAUUACACUUUACCCCUUUAACCUAUACCAUGAUUUGCACAUUGUCCCAUCGAGUUCAAAAUCUAGUAAUAUACCCUUCAUGUUUUAUAAUUGCACCCAAUGUGCAUUUUCUGAGUCACGACAUUACAUGUUUGGAUGGAAUGGCAUGUGCUCUCCACGUGAUCGAGGGCACAAUGGUCAUUUUUUAAUAAGUGAGGGCAAAAGGGUCAUUCCAUUUUUAACCUUAAUUUGUAACCCUCCUCUCCCCGUCGAUUGUUUCUUACCCUGUUGUUGCAGAUGAAGCCCCAAGACAAAGCCCUCCUCCCCCAAAGAAGCUAAUGAAGGGCUCACAUCAAAGAGAAGAUAUGGAGUUACGGUAAUUUUUUUACUUUCAAUUAUUUAAUGGGUAGAAGCAUGUCGAGAACGGGGGUUAGGGUUUUGUUUUGAUCUUUCAAAUAAUUUAAAGAAAUUUUAGGGAAAUUUUGGGAAAAUAAAACUCAGUCAAAUUGAGGGUUAGGGUUUCAUUUGAUGUUUCAGAAAAGUGGGGGAAAUUUGAGGAUUCUUGAGAUUGAGAAAUUAUUUUGGGGAAUUUUCAAAUUUCCACCCUAUGGACAAGGAGAAAUUAUGUGGGGUUUUUGGCAACAGCUUUGUGGAAUUUGGAUUUUAAGGCUUCGAAGGGAAGGAAGAACAAGGGAGGAGGGCUUCAGCUUGGGGGACGGGGGAGAGGAGGGUUGUAGAUUAAGAAAAAAAAUGGUCAUUUUGCCCUCGAUCACGCUGAGAGCACAUGUCAUUCCGUCCAAAAAUGUAACAUUGUGACUCAAAAAAUACACAUUGCAUGCAAUUAUAAAGCAUAGAAGGUACAUUGCUCGAUUU